UAAUACAUAAAAUCAAUUUGAAAAUAAUAGAAACUAGUAAAUAAGAUAAGAAUUUAAUUUAUUAUUUGUCUGUACACGUAUAUACGUUUCUGUUACGUUAGCUGCAAUCCAUUUAAUGCUGCAAAUUUGAAGUUUUUGAUUGACCAAUCGGAACAAAGAAUUUUACAAAUUGGCCAAUGAAACAAUGCUUCGAAGCAUUUGUAUCGUCAAGUGGACUAUAGCCAUGUGUCUAAUCGGAUACAAUUGAAAAUAAAAGCAGAACAAAAGAUGGCGCGAAUUUUUAAUUCACUGAAUUGAUUGAUUAUAUUAUCCCAUCUAGUAAAGAACAACGCAUUAAUUUUUCUUCAUACACUUCACUUUUUAUUUUUCUCUGACUAUAACUUGAACUCUUUAUACAUCUUUCAUAGCCUAAGUACGUGUAAAUAUAACAGAAAUUAACAUAUCGUAAAACUCAUCAUAUCCCUACAUUUAGAUUUCGCUAUUGUAAAUUCGUGGAAUAAUUGCGCAUUUGUUAAUUCUCGCAGUUUACAGUUUCCGUCGACAUCCUCAGGCAGAAAUGAUGAUCUCUGUCUGUAGAUCCGGAUAUUUCUAGACGCGUAUCUUCCAAUUAAUUAAAAUCAUAUAAGUACGAAUUUUCACACGAUGCGCAAAGCGAUAUAUUGCACACACAAAUUUAUAAAUUGAUCACAAGAAUAAUUUUGUACAUCGAGAUUAAUCCAAAACAUGUCACUUAAUAAUAAUCUAUAAUUAUGAUCCCAAAACCUCAAGUUAUAAUAAGAUAUGCGUGAGAUAUAAAUCCUCUUUCAAAGUGUAAAUUAGUUUUUGACGUUAGAAGUCAUAUUAGAAGU